rnacentral:lncRNA from 1 species
UUACUAUUCAGUCCAGUUUUCUAACAUCAUUUGUCUGUUUAUUUAUAUCUAAAUUAGCUUUUCGAGUGCUGUAACAUUUUGGUAUAUAACAAAAGGAUAAAAAAUGGAAAUCAAAGAGCAUUGAUAAAUUAUCGGUCAGUAAAUGUCCUUUCAAAUUCCAAUGUAGUGCUUUCAAUUUUAUAAUAAAAAUUCAGUGAUUAGUAGCAUACUACAAUAAUUGACCUUAUUGUUGAAUUGAGGGAAACAACCGAAAAACUAUGUUAUGCAGCCAUAUAAGUGAUGUACGCAUGUUUGCAUAAAGUUAAAGACGUGGAUGAUUUUAUUAUAAUUAACAUAGAAAUAGUUCUAGAUUGGCAAAUGAAAAUGUGAAGUAAAUUUGUAUGCAAAUACAGGUCCGACCAGGGACAUGCAAAAUGAAUAAUAGUUUUUUCUUCAUAUAGAAGUGUCUUCUCGACUGUUAUCGAAAAUAAAGUGUAUUAUUAAAGGAUCGACCUUUUGUGAGGCAAGUAAAUCAGAAAAAACAUACAGCUUAUUUCGAUUAAUCCUUGAGAGCUCCAGAAGCAAUCCAACUGGCAUUUAUCCUUUGUCAGUAGUAUUGUUGUCAACGUUUGAUGAUUAUAUAGCAACCGUAUAACCUUAAUUAUUAGGUUAAAAUCUCCCUUAACAGGAAAACUUUCGCAAGUUAACGGAAACGAACAAUUCCAAAAUUUCAUUAGCAAUAAUUGUGAUGAAAGAGCAUAAUGUCUUUAUCCAAGAAUGCGCAUAAAUUAAGAAAACUUCCGUUUGCACAAGAAUAGGUCAAAGUCGAAAAUAAUUAAAUUUCGAAGAUCAUAAGAGUGGGAGAGGGAUAAGAUAUUAAACAAGGUGAAUUUGUUGGCAUUAAGCACUACUUUUAACAUUAGAUUGAGGAACCUGAAUGUACUGCUGGGGAGAUUUUUCUUUAACGAGGUUUUGUGAAUUGGGAGGAUUAGCAAUUUGAGGCACUGAAGCCGACUCUGUUUGUGAAGUUGGGGUGGGUAAUCUGUGUAAGUCAUACUGCUUUUCCAUUGUGGCGCUAGCAUCUAAUAUUGCGCGGACAGCUUGAUUAUUUUCUUCUGUUUUUGACUUUUGAGUCGGGGAGUUACUCAUUUUGCUUUCCAUUUCCUUGGCUUGCUUGUUCGCAGAGGCUUGUGGUAAAGUUGAAACACGUUGAACGGCGACAGGAGAAGAUUUACUGUUGGAAUUCGCAAGAUUCAUUGUCGGUGAGUCGGAAACUGAAGAGCGUAACUUAUUUACCAUAGAUUCUCUCCAGGAGCUAAUCCCUUCAAAACCAUUGACCAAAUCAACACCUUGUAAAUCAUGUAAUUGUUCAUCAAUCUUUUUCGGUGAAGAUUGCUGUAUUUGAGAGUAUAUCAAGUGACUAUUGACCGGAUUUCUGUAAGGUGAAAUUGUGUCAUAUGAACCUACUUGAGGCCAAUCGUGUGGAUUGGGAACUGCAACAUAUUUCCAAAAAGGUGCAGGAGAAGACGUUGGAUAUGUAGAAGAUCCAAUAGGAGAUCCAAAUGCAGCCUUUUUUGUUUGAGAAGCACUAUUAGCAUCUAAAGCAUAAUCAUGGGUGCUAAUAAUAUCAGAUAAUGCAGCAUGUGUAGGCGUUUUGUAGGUUUCCAUUUGCUUUUCUUCUGCUGAGGUUUCAGCAGUCGAGGGUGAGCCCACAUCUUUAGGAGUUGAAGGAGUUUGAUCACGAGCAGAUGUAGUGGAUGAGGCUGGCUCCGCCGCCGGAAUAGAGGUGUCCUUCAUUUUCGGAAGGAUGGGAAUUGGUAAUGAUGGAGAACCCUCUCUCUUUUUUGCUAAUAAUGGCACAGGAGAGGAGGGCGAGCGUUUACGCGGUGUUUUUCUAGUCUUUGCAAUAAACUCUUCGCGAAAUUCAGGCACAAUCGACCACUUCAUUCCCUUCCCCUGCUCACCUGACUUCCGUGGAACCUUUCGAAAUGCUUUGUUGAGAGAUAAAUUGUGACGGAUAGAAUUCUGCCAUCCACUUUUUGUUGUGCGAUAAUAUGGGUAAUGUGUUGAAAUCCAUGAAUAUAUGUUAGAAAGAGUCAUCAUGCAUUCAGAAGAAGAUAAAAUUGCUUGUGCAAUCAUAACAGAAUAACUGUAUGGUGGUUUUUUAUUAUCACCAUAUUCAGCAGCAUCGUUUACGGCUGCGGAAAUUUCAGACUUUAUAGCAUCCUCCUUUAUAGUGCUUUCGUCAGUUUGCUUUUGCUCAGCUGCAUUGGGUAGUACGAACAUCAUUUGUAAACCCGCUACUUCGAGUAUAGAUCUAGUAGAUAAUUAGUAAGACGAAAAAGAAAUAAAAAAAAAUAAUUGGCAUAAUUUCCUGCAUUUAUUUGAACUAGGACGGAAAUAAUUAUUUUCUUGAUAAUUUGACAAAUCCUUAACGCGCAUUUAUAAAAUAACCAAACAUUCGUUUAAAAUUGACAAAUAACACGAGAAAACCAUAGAACUUAUGAAAGAGUAAAGCAUAAAUUAUGCGCUGCUGAAACCAUCAAUAUUCCGUCCUGUCGCAAAUCACGACGAACCAACACUAUUCUAGUAAAUGAUUUUUAACAUACCCACUUGUAAGCUUGACUGUUUCCCCAUUCUUGAAUAACUUGCCAUCUACUUUAAUGCCAUUUCGACCGUAAACUGAGCAAUUCCAUGUUUGGUCAUCCAAAUCAUAUUC